GUUGGUGAACCAGCGGAGGGAUCAUUACCGAGUUUACAACUCCCAAACCCCUGUGAACAUACCUUAAUGUUGCCUCGGCGGAUCAGCCCGCGCCCCGUAAAACGGGACGGCCCGCCAGAGGACCCAAACUCUAAUGUUUCUUAUUGUAACUUCUGAGUAAAACAAACAAAUAAAUCAAAACUUUCAACAACGGAUCUCUUGGUUCUG
rnacentral:misc_RNA from 1 species